GCUUUCCUGUGGCUCAGUUGGUAGAGCAUUGUGCGCUAACAACGCAAAGGUUGUGGGUUCAUGUCCCAGGGAAAGCA